GUCUCGCAUGAGGGAUGGAAGUGGAAAUCCUUUUAUGCAGCGUAGCGAAAUAAAAGAUUGCAACGUACAGCGCGACGCUGC
rfam:Flavobacterium frigoris strain DSM 15719 genome assembly, contig: Ga0131223_101